rnacentral:rRNA from 1 species
CCCUUAGAUGGUCUGGGCGGCACGCGCGCUACAAUGAUGCAUUCAAAAAGUCUUCUGACCUUAGAAGGUUGGGUAUUCUCCAAAGUGCAUCGUGAUGGGAAUAGUUUAUUGCAAUUUUUAAUCUUGAACGAGGAAUUCCUAGUAAGUACAGGUCAUCAACUUGUGUUGAUUACGUCCCUGCCCUUUGUACACACCGCCCGUCGCUCCUACUGAUGAAUGGUCCGAUGAGUAUUCCGGAUGGAGACUGAUUUAGGCUUUGCCUUGCAGCUUCUCCAGAAGUUAUCCAAAUCUUAUCAUUUAGAGGAAGGAGAAGUCGUAACA